ACGCUCAUGUUUCUCUUCAGAUCGUAUAAAUCUUUCGCCUUUUACUAAAGAUUUCCGUGGAGAAGAACACUAUGAGUAUAUCAUAAUUUUUUUGAUGCCCUAUUUAAUUAUGGGGCG
ensembl:snRNA U5 U5 spliceosomal RNA